rnacentral:rRNA from 1 species
UACGGAGGGAGCUAGCGUUGUUCGGAAUUAUUGGGCGUAAAGGGCGCGUAGGCGGCUUGAUGUGUCAAAGGUGAAAUCCCUCGGCUCAACUGAGGAACUGCCUUUGAAACUGUCUGGCUUGAGGCCGGGAGAGGGUAGCGGAAUUCCCAGUGUAGCGGUGAAAUGCGUAGAUACUGGGAGGAACACCGGUGGCGAAGGCGGCUACCUGGACCGGUUCUGACGCUGAUGCGCGAAAGCGUGGGUAGCAAACAGG